rnacentral:tRNA from 1 species
GCCUGGGUGGCUCAGUCGGUUGAGCGUCCGACUUCGGCUCAGGUCAUGAUCUCGUGGUCCGUGGGUUCAAGCCCCGCGUCGGGCU